AGCACUACACUACAGAAAUGAGAUCAAAAAAGAAAACGAACGUUUUUGAUUUUAGUCCUGUAUUACUUUAUGACUUUUGAUUUACUUUUAUAUGCUUCUGUGUUAUCUGGCCUGAUAUGUGUGCUUCUUGUGGGAUAAGUGGUGUAGUAUAGAGUUCAGUAUGUACUGUAUGUCUUUAUGUUAAUAAUUGUGAGUACGGUACAGU